ACCAACUGACGAGUCCCAGAUAGGACGAAACGCGUGUACUAGAU
rnacentral:hammerhead_ribozyme from 1 species